rnacentral:rRNA from 1 species
AUCCAGAGCACUUAGCAGAGAUGCUUUGUCGUGCCUUGCAGGAGAACUCUGAGACAGGUGCUUGCAUGGCUGUCGUCAGCUCGUGUUGUGAAAUGUUGGGUUAAGUCCCGCAACGAGCGCAACCCUUAUCCUUUGUUGCCAGCGGUCCGGCCGGGAACUCAAAGGAGACUGCCAGUGAUAAACUGGAGGAAGGUGGGGAUGACGUCAAGUCAUCAUGGCCCUUACGAGUAGGGCUACACACGUGCUACAAUGGCGCAUACAAAGAGAAGCGAACUCGCGAGAGCAAGCGGACCUCAUAAAGUGCGUCGUAGUCCGGAUUGGAGUCUGCAACUCGACUCCAUGAAGUCGGAAUCGCUAGUAAUCGUAGAUCAGAAUGCUACGGUGAAUACGUUCCCGGGUCUUGUACACACCG